CUCAAGUCAUGUUCGAUAUCUAGUUAAGGGGUACAUUUAUCUCCAGCGUUCCCCGGGACCUUCCCUUUUGAUUUUCAAGAACAUUUUCUUCCCUCUGCCAGAGCAGUCCUUUCGAAUCAAAGGCUCGGCUUUUCCAAAGUGUAGUUUCUGAUGUGGGCUUCAGUGGACUGGCUGCGAAGUUCCUGAGACAAUGAGAGGGAAUGCUGGCUGCCUCUUUCUCUUUAUCUUCUCGCAGUAAAGCUCCAGUUCUCCUCGAGGUAAAGUGGAGCCUCUGAUUGACGCGAGGACGCGGGGAAAAUGAAAGCCAAAUUAUUAUUAUUUCAAGUUGUGUUCUUGCGGCGUUCCCAGAUGUCUGUGGUGACCCUCGUUUGUGUGAAGUCAACACAACUGACCAGCACACCAUCUGAAUGCUACAGCGGGAUGGAGAUGGGAGGCGAAGCCUUGGAAGCUGCAGGGUGAAUAGCUGGUGUGCACAACCCCCUAGCAACGGGCAAACAAGGACUCCGGAGUGUGGAAUGGGAGUCAGGGCUUAAUGGGCACAAAGUUUCC
rnacentral:lncRNA from 1 species